UUGGCACGGCAAGGCCACGACGCGUUCGGCCACGGCGCGCUCGGCUCCUGCGUGGCGGACGUGGCCUCGCCCGGCCACGACGGCUUCAGGAGAAGGUCCAAGGUGGCUACCAGCUACGAGUUGGAGCCACGGGCGCUCGACGGCUGGCGGCGGCCCAUGGCGGCGACUGUUGGCGAUGUGGCACUGUACCAGCAAUCUCUUAAGGGAAAAAAUGUUGAAGGACAAGGAUAUGAAGCUCACUUCACCACCCCACCUAACUUGAAGGAUGGAGCUGGUUGCUCAAGCAUGGCUACAAUGGAACCAAGCACGACCAACCCUCCGCUUCUGACCAACACCGAAUACAUGAACUUGGACAAUGCCAUCAUCGAAUAUGCUUCGAGUGAUGUGUUUGGAUACCUUUACUAG
rnacentral:misc_RNA from 1 species